rnacentral:misc_RNA from 1 species
UUUUUUUUUUUUUUUUUUCAAUUUGUAUUUUUUGAAUGUUAUAAAUUUAUCAAUAGAAAUUUAUUUUGCAAUUAUAGCUUAUUAUUAUUAUUAAGGGAAAAUAGUUUAUUGAUAAGUUUAAUGUUUAAAAUGAUAUGUAUUGUUUGUGAAAAUUGUUAUAUGCUAUGUUUUAGUUCUACUAAGGCAGAUAGAUAUAUAUUUGGAGGGUUGUGUCUAUACUUGUCCCUUUUUUAUUUAUUUUUUGACUAGGGAAAUGUCUAAUUUUUAGUGAAAUUUUGCUAGAUUUUCAAUAAGAUUUUAGGGGAGAGUUGAGUUAGAUUUUUUUUUACUUAGGUAGGAGUUUUUAUUUCUCUUUGUUAACCUAAAUAUUAUUAUUGUAUUCUAUAGGGCCAUUUCCACCAAAAGGUAAUAGUGUGCCAAGGCUGUACCAUAAGCUGGCGGCUAGACCCUUGAUUUCUUGGGCUUAAUUGGUUGAUGGUAUGUGAGAGGAGACAAUGGCUUUGCACUUGUCAUGAUCCUCAAGUGUCCAUGUCAUCAACUAAAGAUGUUAAACUAGUACCUGAAGAAAACCGAAAAAUGAACCAAUCUCUCUAGUUAUGGUAAUUUGAGAUUUAAAUUUCACUCUUGGUUUGAUUUGAUGUUUUUGUUUAUCUUUCUUUGAUUUGAUUUGAUUUUUUUUGUUUAUCUUUCUCUGAUAAGUGCUGAUAGUUGGGCAUUUGGGCGCAGGAAAAUCUGCAAAAAUUUAUUCGAUGUGUAAGGUAUAGUCAAAUGAUCUUUGAAUGAUUUUGUUUCCUUCAAAUCUUAAAUCCUGAAUCCUAUUCAGUUCUUAUCUAAAGCUCUUCAAAUUUUAAAAUGCAAAUUGUCAAGUCACUAUCUGUUCUCCCACCUUCCCCUUUAUACAAUCUUCUCUUCAUUCCCAAACUUCCCUUCUUUUCUUCUUUUUCUUCACUUGCCAAUACUGUAGAAGCCCCAAACCCUGCCCUUUUCCAUUACCUAAUGGAAACAUUAAAAUUCUCUAAAACCCAAGCGCUCUUAAUCUCCACGCGCUACUCUCACAUCAAAUCCAUGGAAAAACCUCAAUCCGUGUUUUGCUUUUUCCAAAACCUUGGUUUCUCCAAUUCCCAUAUCCAAUCUGCUAUCCUUCUAACACCCCAAAUUCUCUUUGCUAAUAUUGAGAAGUCCCUUAAACCAAAAAUUAAGCUUUUUCAAGAUAUAGGUCUUGUGGGUUGUGACUUAGGUAAGUUCAUUUCCAAGAAUUCCCCACUUUUAACUGCUAGUUUGAAGGAAAAGUUGGUUCCUCGCAUUGAAAUUUUGAAGAAACUUUUGUUGAAUGAUGAGAAAAAUGAGGAUUUGGUGAAGGUUAUACGUAGAUGCAAUUGGUUAAUCUCCAAAAACCCUGAAUCGAGGUUGUUAUCCAACAUCGCAUACUUGAAGAGUUGUGGGAUAGUUGGGUCUCAGCUCUCAAUGUUGUUAAAGAGGCAGCCUAGGCUUUUUGUUAUGCAAGAAUCAAGGCUUAGAGACCUUGUUUCUCGAGUAUUGAAUAUGGGAUUCUCAAUCAAUUCAAGGAUGUUGGUUCAUGCUUUAUAUACUGUUAGUUGCUUGAGUGAUGAGACAUUUGAGAGAAAAUUUGGAAUUUUAAAGAGUUAUGGGUUUUCAGAGUAUGAAUGCAUAGAAAUGUUUAGAAAGGCACCAGGUUUGCUAAGGACCUCUAAGGAGAAGUUGAAGUUGGGAAUUGAUUUCUUUUUGAAUGUAGUAAAGUUUAAAAAAGAAGUGUUGCUUCACAAUCCUACAUAUUUGAUGCAUAGCAUGGAAGAAAGAGUGAUUCCUCGAUACAAAGUUUUGGAGAUUAUGAAGUCAAAGAAGAUAUUUAAGAAGGAGCCAAGCUUUAUUAAUGUGUUGCAUUUAACAGAAGAGGAGUUUUUACAGAAGUUUAUAUCAAGGUUCCCAGAUGAUGCUUUGGAAUUGUUGAUAGCUUACAAAGGCAAUAUUCUAGAUUCAUCAUCCUAGGGAGAAAAAUCUUGAUACAGGAAAAUUAUGUUCAAUUGGGCUUUGAUUAUUAUUUUUCACUUAAAGGAACAUAGGAAAAUUACCCAUUCAGCUACUCAAUUUGGGAAAGCAAUCCUUUGAGCACUUCGAAUCUCCUGUGUGGUAGAGAAGAAGAAGAAAGAUGGGAGAGAGAAAGGUUUUGAACAAGUAUUAUCCGCCCGAUUUUGAUCCAUCGAAGGUUCCCCGAAUUAAGAGGCCAAAAAACCAGUAGAUUAAGGGCCGGAUGAUGCUUCCAAUAAGUAUACGUUGCAACACUUGCCGCAAUUACAUAUAUAAGGGCACCAAGUUCAAUUCUCGCAAGGAAGAUGUCAUCGGCGAGACAUCUCGGAAUUCAAAUUUCAGGUUCUAUUUCAAGUGCACCAAAUGUUCAGCCGAGCUUGCCAUAAAGACUGAUCCUCAAAAUUCUGAUUAUGUUAUUGAGAGUGGUGCUACGCGAAAUUUUGAGCCCUGGCGCGCUGAGGAUGAGGAAGCUGAUAAGGAGAGGCAAAAAAGGGAUGCUGAGGAGAUGGGUGAUGCAAUGAAAUCCUUGGAGAAUCGGACUUUGGACUCCAAAAGAGAGAUGGCCAUUCUAGCUGCACUUGACGAGAUGAAGUCUAUGAAGUCAAGACAUGCAACUGUCAGCGUAGAUGCUAUGCUUGAGGCCUUGCAGAAAACAGCUGCAGAAAAGGAGAAGAAGGUGGAAGAAGAGGAUGAAGCACUUGUAAAAUCAAUAUUUGAACGGAGAUCAAAAGAAGUUAUAAGAAGGAUUCCUGAUGAGUAUUCGGAUGAUGAUGAUGAUUUCAAUCAGCUUUCAAAUGCCAAUAGUGAAACGAUGAGAAAUAAUUCAAAGGUAUGAUAAUCUUGUAAUGUGGUUUGUACUUUUUGUUGGCCGCAUUUUGGACAUACAAUUCUUUUUGGCUAGUCAGAGUUAGGACAAUUUUAGAUAUUGUUAAAUACUAUUCAAAGAAACGAAAUUUUAUUGUAAAAUUUGUCUAACAAUUUAUUGCAUAAGUCAUGACUAUUAUUUUUCUAAAUAAAUAAUUAUAUUUUAGAUGUUGAAAGUAUUUUUAUAUUGUAUAUUCAUUUAAAAAUUUGUUAAAUUAUGAAUUUGAUUCAUUUUGCUACUUUGGAAAGGGGGGAAAUAAGAAUCCGCAGUAGUCCUUUGGCAACCAUUAUACUUUGGCACUACAACCAUGAUUUAAAACUUGGACCAUAUAGAUGCAAUAAAUGAAAAUAACUUCUGGAUUGUGAUAGGUUGAAAUUCAUUAGAGAAUUAGGAUGGGUGGAAAAUAGAAUGAUGGAAAAAAAAAAGGAGGGAUAGCAAAGUUGAAAAUUGAUGAGAAAUGUUUUCCACUCAUAUGCUUGUUGGAAAAGUUGUAAAAAGUGGAAGAAAUAAAACAAAUAUUGAUUUUUUUCUGUCAAUUUAUGUGAAAUAUAGUGUUAUGACAUCUAUAUUUUCCUGGUAAAAUCUAAUACAAAUCACUAACUCAUUUUCCACUCUCUUGUCUUCUAUUUUGAAGUUUAAACUUUUGGUUUGGGUGAGAAUUAUCCCUCGUAUUUUCCUUUUCUGUUUUCCCCACCCUACCUAAUGAUGCAAAAUAGUUUCUAUCCUUUGUUUUCUUGCUUUUCCAUCUUCUCACAUUUUCCUUCUACAACUAUAAUGCUGCGAAAAUAGUUCAAUAGUAACUCUUUUAGUAUGCUAAUUUAGGAUCACUCAUAUUUUAAUUUU